GACGAACGCUGGCGGCGUGCCUAAUACAUGCAAGUCGAGCGCAGGAAACUGACGGAACUCUUCGGAGGGAAGGCAGUGGAAUGAGCGGCGGACGGGUGAGUAACACGUAAGGAACCUGCCCCAAGGAUUGGGAUAACUCCGAGAAAUCGGAGCUAAUACCGGAUAGUUCAACGGACCGCAUGGUCCGCUGAUGAAAGGCGCUCCGGCGUCACCUUGAGAUGGCCUUGCGGUGCAUUAGCUAGUUGGUGGGGUAACGGCCCACCAAGGCGACGAUGCAUAGCCGACCUGAGAGGGUGAUCGGCCACACUGGGACUGAGACACGGCCCAGAAUCCUACGGGAGGCAGAAGUAGGGAAUCUUCCACAAUGGACGAAAGUCUGAUGGAGCAACGCCGCGUGAGUGAUGAAGGUUUUCGGAUCGUAAAACUCUGUUGUAAGGGAAGAACACGUACGAGAGGAAAUGCUCGUACCUUGACGGUACCUUACGAGAAAGCCACGGCUAACUACGUGCCAGCCGCCGCCGUAA
rnacentral:rRNA from 1 species